rnacentral:misc_RNA from 1 species
AUAACAAAAUAAUUGUUUACUUAUGUAUUCAGUGGUCGGAAUGUCUGUGAUCUGCCGCUUGUUCUAGAUUCAGAACCCUGUAAAUACUCAGGAGGUCUGGACAAUGACGGAGAAUCUCACGGUCCUGGUACAAUCAACUUUCAGAAAACUGGUACUUUUCAGGGUGUAUUUUCUCAUGGGUUGGAGAACAGAGAAGGGUUUAGGUAUCUACCCGGAGAUAUUGCUAAAAUAUCAGGAACCUGGAUAAGAGGAAAACUAGAGGGAUAUGCUAGAACAGAGAUGCUGACUGGAGAAUGGUUUGAAGGAGUUUAUAAGGACGGAGAGAGACAAGGAUUCUUCAGGGAGUUUGGUAUAGAUAAUCAUUUAAAGGAAUUUACCCGCUAUCAAAGAAACAAAAGGGUUGGAUGGACCUACGAAGGAAAACUAGGAGGGGGAUAUUUGAUAGGCUUGUUGGAUCAUGAUGGAAAGAUGACAGGGGAUAAUAUUAUCUACAUGUAUCCUGACUUCCGAACCGGGCUCAGGGGAAGUUUUCAAGAUGGUGUUAUGAUAUCUGCUCAACUGUCUACCAUUCUAUCUAGUGAGGAGGUGGAUGGAGUAUGUAUACCUGUACUGAGUGAACCUAAAAGUGAAGAUAUUUACUUCUUUGAUCCAGCUACAAGUACGAGAAUAUCUAGACAGCCCUUACUCCAGGAUCCUUGGGAGAGAAGUUUAGUAGAAGUGAAGAUGAGUAAACUAGAUCAGGCUGGACAUGGUCUCUUCGCCAGGGAAGAGAUACCGAAGAAAACAGUGGUAGCUCUGUUUGCAGGGAUACGAUUAAAGGAGCACCAGUUAGCGAAACAUAAGAAAUCUAACUAUAGGAUAAUACUAAACUCAGCUAUUAAUCUUGAUAUUCCUCAGGAUUGUAUUUGUAUAUCAAAUUACUGUGCCACAUUAGCCCAUAAGGCCAACCAUUCUUUUACUCCAAACAGUGAAUGGUCAAUCUUUGAACAUCCAAGAUUUGGACUUAUCCGAGCCAUAUCUGCUAAACAAGAUAUCCAGGUUGGAGAGGAGAUAUUGGUAAACUAUAAUAUAGAACUAUCUACAGCUCCUGAGUGGUAUAGAAUACUCUGGUUAAGGCAUCUAAUGGAAGACAAGCACUGGACUUUACAGGACGUUGAAAGAUUUAUGGACCGACAUUAUGAUCUUUCAUUUAAAAAGAUUCCACUUCCAACCUCACUAAUAUUACAGGUACCUACCCCUUUCGGAGCUUCAACAGAAGAAGAAGAAGAACAAGCGGUAGAGGAAGAAGAAGAAGAAGAAGGAAAAGAAGAAAAAUAUGGAGAACGAAAAGAAAUAGAAGAGAAGUAGGACUAUACAUGAAGUAGAAUCUAGGAAAGGAAAAAGGAUGAAGACUGAAACAAAUUUGUGGCAAAGGAAUUGAGUCUUUGCUACAAACUUAAAUUGUCGCAUCCUAAACUCU